CCUUACCUGGCCUUGACAUCCAGAGAACUUUCCAGAGAUGGAUUGGUGCCUUCGGGAACUCUGAGACAGGUGCUGCAUGGCCGUCGUCAGCUCGUGUCGUGAGAUGUUGGGUUAAGUCCCGUAACGAGCGCAACCCCUAUCCCUGGUUGCUAGCAGGUAAUGCUGAGAACUCCAGGGAGACUGCCGGUGACGAACCGGAGGAAGGUGGGGAUGACGUCAGGUCAUCAUGGCCCUUACGGCCAGGGCUACACACGUGCUACAAUGGCGCGUACAGAGGGCUGCCAACUCGCGAGAGUGAGCCAAUCCCUUAAAACGCGUCGUAGUCCGGAUCGGAGUCUGCAACUCGACUCCGUGAAGUCGGAAUCGCUAGUAAUCGCGAAUCAGAAUGUCGCGGUGAAUACGUUCCC
rnacentral:rRNA from 1 species